ACUCAAAUGAAUAGACGGGGGCCCGCACAAGCGGAGGAACAUGUGGUUUAAUUCGAUGAUACGCGAGGAACCUUACCCGGGCUAGAACGCAGAAGGAAUAUGUGGGAAACUGCAUAGCCGCAAGGUCUUUUGCGAGGUGCUGCAUGGUUGUCGUCAGCUCGUGCCGUGAGGUGUCGGCUUAAGUGCCAUAACGAGCGCAACCCUUAUUGUUAGUUGCCAGCGGGUGAUGCCGGGGACUCUAGCAAAACUGCCUGCGUAAGCUGUGAGGAAGGUGGGGAUGACGUCAAAUCAGCACGGCCCUUACGUCCGGGGCGACACACGUGUUACAAUGGGGGGUACAGAGGGUCGCUACCACGCGAGUGGACGCCAAUCUCUAAAGCCUCUCUCAGUUCGGAUCGAAGUCUGCAACUCGACUUCGUGAAGUUGGAUUCGCUAGUAAUCGCGCAUCAGCCAUGGCGCGGUGAAUACGUUCCCGGGCCUUGUACACACCGCCCGU
rnacentral:rRNA from 1 species